UCCCUGCGGGAGGCAGCAGUGUGGAAUAUUGGUCAAUGGCCGGGAGGCUGAACCAGCCAAGUCGCGUGAGGGAAGACGGCCCUACGGGUUGUAAACCUCUUUUGUCAGGGAGCAAGGUGCAGGUCGGGACCUGCUGUGAGAGUACCUGAAGAAAAAGCAUCGGCUAACUCCGUGCCAGCAGCCGCGGUAAUACGUAGGGGGCAAGCGUUAUCCGGAUUUACUGGGUGUAAAGGGGGCGCAGACGGCGAUGCAAGCCAGGAGUGAAAGCCCGGGGCCCAACCCCGGGACUGCUCUUGGAACU
rnacentral:rRNA from 1 species